AGUGAACGCUGGCGGUAGGCCUAACACAUGCAAGUCGAACGGCAGCACAGUAAGAGCUUGCUCUUACGGGUGGCGAGUGGCGGACGGGUGAGGAAUACAUCGGAAUCUACUUUUUCGUGGGGGAUAACGUAGGGAAACUUCCGCUAAUACCGCAUACGACCUACGGGUGAAAGCAGGGGAUCUUCGGACCUUUCGCGAUUGAAUGAGCCGAUGUCGGAUUAGCUAGUUGGCGGGGUAAAGGCCCACCAAGGCGACGAUCCGUAGCCGGUCUGAGAGGAUGAUCAGCCACACUGGAACUGAGACACGGUCCAGACUCCUACGGGAGGCAGCAGUGGGGAAUAUUGGACAAUGGGCGCAAGCCUGAUCCAGCCAUACCGCGUGGGUGGAGAAGGCCUUCGGGUUGUAAAGCCCUGUUGUUGGGAAAGAAAAGCAGCAGGUUAAUACCCCGCUGUUCUGACGGUACCCAAAGAAUAAGCACCGGCUAACUUCGUG
rnacentral:rRNA from 1 species